AGANNNANACUCCAAACCCAAUGUGAACGUUACCAAACUGUUGCCUCGGCGGGAUCUCUGCCCCGGGUGCGUCGCAGCCCCGGACCAAGGCGCCCGCCGGAGGACCAACCAAAACUCUUAUUGUAUACCCCCUCGCGGGUUUUUUUAUAAUCUGAGCCUUCUCGGCGCCUCUCGUAGGCGUUUCGAAAAUGAAUCAAAACUUUCAACAACGGAUCUCUUGGUUCUGGCAUCGAUGAAGAACGCAGCGAAAUGCGAUAAGUAAUGUGAAUUGCAGAAUUCAGUGAAUCAUCGAAUCUUUGAACGCACAUUGCGCCCGCCAGUAUUCUGGCGGGCAUGCCUGUCCGAGCGUCAUUUCAACCCUCGAACCCCUCCGGGGGGUCGGCGUUGGGGAUCGGCCCUCCCUUAGCGGGGUGGCCGUCUCCGAAAUACAGUGGCGGUCUCGCCGCAGCCUCUCCUGCGCAGUAGUUUGCACACUCGCAUCGGGAGCGCGGCGCGUCCACAGCCGUUAAACACCCAACUUCUGAAAUGUUGACCUCGGAUCAGGUAGGAAUACCCGCUGAACUUAAGCAUAUCAAUAAGCGGAGGAAUCUCUGCCCCGGGUGCGUUUCGCUUCAGCCCCGGACCAAGGCGCCCGCCGGAGGACCAACCAAAACUCUUAUUGUAUACCCCCUCGCGGGUUUUUUUAUAAUCUGAGCCUUCUCGGCGCCUCUCGUAGGCGUUUCGAAAAUGAAUCAAAACUUUCAACAACGGAUCUCUUGGUUCUGGCAUCGAUGAAUGAACGCAGCGAAAUGCGAUAAGUAUAUGUGAAUUGCAGAAUUCAGUNUUCGAAUCAUCGAAUCUUUGAACGCACAUUGCGCCCGCCAUNUGUAUCUCUCUGGCGGGUCNUUNCAUGCCUGUCCGAGCGUCAUUUCAACCCUCGAACCCCUCCGGGGGGUCGGCGUUGGGGUCNUCAUCGGCCCUUUCCCUUAGCGGGGUGGCCGUCUCCGAAAUACAGUGGCGGUCUCGCCGCAGCCUCUCCUGCGCAGUAGUUUGCACACUCGCAUCNNCGNGCGCGGCGCGUCCACAGCCGUUAAACACCCAACUUCUGAAAUGUGACCUCGGAUCAGGUAG
rnacentral:rRNA from 1 species